rnacentral:rRNA from 1 species
ACGGGGGGAGCAAGCGUUGUUCGGAUUUACUGGGCGUAAAGGGCGCGUAGGCGGUCACUACAAGUCACUUGUGAAAUCUCCGAGCUUAACUCGGAAAGGUCAACUGAUACUGCGGGGCUAGAGUGCGGAAGGGGCAACUGGAAUUCUUGGUGUAGCGGUGAAAUGCGUAGAUAUCAAGAGGAACACCUGCGGCGAAGGCGGGUUGCUGGGCCGACACUGACGCUGAGGCGCGAAAGCGUGGGGAGCAAACAGGA